AGUGAACGCUGGCGGUAGGCCUAACACAUGCAAGUCGAACGGCAGCACAGUAAGAGCUUGCUCUUACGGGUGGCGAGUGGCGGACGGGUGAGGAAUACAUCGGAAUCUACUUUUUCGUGGGGGAUAACGUAGGGAAACUUACGCUAAUACCGCAUACGACCUACGGGUGAAAGCAGGGGAUCUUCGGACCUUGCGCGAUUGAAUGAGCCGAUGUCGGAUUAGCUAGUUGGCGGGGUAAAGGCCCACCAAGGCGACGAUCCGUAGCUGGUCUGAGAGGAUGAUCAGCCACACUGGAACUGAGACACGGUCCAGACUCCUACGGGAGGCAGCAGUGGGGAAUAUUGGACAAUGGGCGCAAGCCUGAUCCAGCCAUACCGCGUGGGUGAAGAAGGCCUUCGGGUUGUAAAGCCCUUUUGUUGGGAAAGAAAGGCAGCAGGUUAAUACCCCGCUGUUCUGACGGUACCCAAAGAAUAAGCCCCGGCUAACUUCGUG
rnacentral:rRNA from 1 species